rnacentral:rRNA from 1 species
GAUGAACGCUGGCGGCGUCCCUAAUACAUGCAAGUCGAGCGAACGGACGAGAAGCUUGCUUCUCUGAUGUUAGCGGCGGACGGGUGAGUAACACGUGGAUAACCUACCUAUAAGACUGGGAUAACUUCGGGAAACCGGAGCUAAUACCGGAUGAUAUUUUGAACCGCAUGGUUCAAAAGUGAAAGACGGUCUUGCUGUCACUUAUAGAUGGAUCCGCGCUGCAUUAGCUAGUUGGUAAGGUAACGGCUUACCAAGGAAACGAUGCAUAGCCGACCUGAGAGGGUGAUCGGCCACACUGGAACUGAGACACGGUCCAGACUCCUACGGGAGGCAGCAGUAGGGAAUCUUCCGCAAUGGGCGAAAGCCUGACGGAGCAACGCCGCGUGAGUGAUGAAGGUCUUCGGAUCGUAAAACUCUGUUAUUAGGGAAGAACAUAUGUGUAAGUAACUGUGCACAUCUUGACGGUACCUAAUCAGAAAGCCACGGCUAACUACGUG